CUGAGAUGUAUAGGAGAUUGGUUGACAAGCUUAAUUAUCUCACAGUAAUUCGUCCGGAUAUUGCAUAUUCAGUUAGUGUUGUAAGUCAAUUCAUAGCUUCUCCAACAGUUUAUCAUUGGGCAGCUUUAGAACAGAUCUUGUGCUACUUAAAGGGAGCUCCAGGACGGGGUUUCUUGUAUUUGAAUCAUGGACGUUCUAAUAUCGAAUGUUUUUCAGAUACAUAUUGGGUAGGAUCCACUGUUAUCAAAGGCGUGCCUCA
rnacentral:misc_RNA from 1 species